GUGCUCACUUCAGUAGCACAAAUACUAAAAUUGGAACGAUACAGAGAUGAUUAGCAUGGCCCCUGCACAAGGAUGACACGCAAAUUCGUGAAGCGUUCCACAUUUUU
rnacentral:snRNA from 1 species